rnacentral:rRNA from 1 species
AGUGAACGCUGGCGGCAUGCUUUACACAUGCAAGUCGAACGGCAGCGGGGUAGAGCUUGCUUCUCUGCCGGCGCGAGGCGAGCAGGGGAGAAGUACACCGCGAAGUCUACAGUUGAGGGGGGGAACAAGCAGGAAAAGUGACUAAAACAGCAUAAACUAUGUACGGGAAAGAUCAGGAGAUCGGAGUAGCUCUCGCGCUUUUUGAAGCGGAGGUCGGAUUAGCUAGUUGGGGGGGUAAAGGCGCACCAAGGCGAAGAUCCGUAGCGGGUCUGAGAGGAUGAUCAGCCACACUGGAACUGAGACACGGUCCAGACUCCUACGGGAGGCAGCAGUGGGGAAUAUUGGACAAUGGGCGCAAGCCUGAUCCAGCCAUGCCGCGUGUAUGAAGAAGGCCUUAGGGUUGUAAAGCACUUUUGUUAGGGAAGAAAAGCCAGCUGUUAAUACCGGGCGGUACUGACGGUACCUAAAGAAUAAGCACCGGCUAACUACGUG